CGAUCCGCGGCCGCUGCAGAGUUUGAUCCUGGCUCAGAUUGAACGCUGGCGGCAUGCUUUACACAUGCAAGUCGAACGGUAACAGGCCUUCGGGUGCUGACGAGUGGCGAACGGGUGAGUAAUGCAUCGGAACGUACCCGGUCGUGGGGGAUAACGCAGCGAAAGCUGUGCUAAUACCGCAUACGAUCUGAGGAUGAAAGCGGGGGACCUUCGGGCCUCGCGCGAUCGGAGCGGCCGAUGUCGGAUUAGCUAGUUGGUGGGGUAAAGGCCUACCAAGGCGACGAUCCGUAGCUGGUCUGAGAGGACGACCAGCCACACUGGGACUGAGACACGGCCCAGACUCUCUACGGGAGGCAGCAGUGGGGAAUUUUGGACAAUGGGCGCAAGCUGAUCCAGCAAUGCGCGUGCGGGAAGAAGGCCUUCGGGUUGUAAACCGCUUUUGGCAGGAACGAAACGGUGUCCGCUAAUACCGGGCGCUAAUGACGGUACCUGCAGAAUAAGCACCCGCUAACUACGUGCCAGCAGCCGCGGUAAUACGUAGGGUGCGAGCGUUAAUCGGAAUUACUGGGCGUAAAGCGUGCGCAGGCGGUUGUGUAAGACACGCGU
rnacentral:rRNA from 1 species